rnacentral:rRNA from 1 species
AGUGAACGCUGGCGGUAGGCCUAACACAUGCAAGUCGAACGGCAGCACAGUAAGAGCUUGCUCUUACGGGUGGCGAGUGGCGGACGGGUGAGGAAUACAUCGGAAUCUACUUUUUCGUGGGGGAUAACGUAGGGAAACUUACGCUAAUACCGCAUACGACCUACGGGUGAAAGCAGGGGAUCUUCGGACCUUGCGCGAUUGAAUGAGACGAUGUCGGAUUAGCUAGUUGGCGGGGUAAAGGCCCACCAAGGCGACGAUCCGUAGCUGGUCUGAGAGGAUGAUCAGCCACACUGGAACUGAGACACGGUCCAGACUCCUACGGGAGGCAGCAGUGGGGAAUAUUGGACAAUGGGCGCAAGCCUGAUCCAGCCAUACCGCGUGGGUGAAGAAGGCCUUCGGGUUGUAAAGCCCUUUUGUUGGGAAAGAAAAGCAGCAUGUUAAUACCCCGCUGUUCUGACGGUACCCAAAGAAUAAGCACCGGCUAACUUCGUG